rnacentral:tmRNA from 1 species
GGGGGUGACUUGGUCUCGACUUGUGUUGUUCGGGCAUAGGUUGCGUGCCGGGGAAGUCUGGUAGGCCUCGACAAAAAUCCAGGCACAAUUAAACGCUAACUCAACGUUAACGUAUAACGGCGUCAUGUCGGAAUUCGCCAAAAGCGAAGCUCCGGCUGAAGCCGUUGCUGUCUAAGCUCUCGUAGCUUAGCCCUUUUGCCUGCCGUGUCUGCGGGCAGGACAAAAGGUCAUGAGCAGACUGGCUCCAUGAGCCCGCCUUCAUUCAUGGAGCGAGACCUUGAGGGCUGGUCCCAAAAUGAGCCUGUUUGCCGGGGCAUGAGGGAUGAGACUUAAAAGACAAACUACGCAUCGUAGACGCUUAUGCUUUGAAACUCAAGGACCCGGGUUCGAUCCCCGGCACCUCCACCA